AACUUUCAACAACGGAUCUCUUGGCUCUUGCAUCGAUGAAGAACGCAGCGAAAUGCGAUAAGUAAUGUGAAUUGCAGAAUUCAGUGAAUCAUCGAAUCUUUGAACGCACCUUGCGCCUUCUGGUAUUCCGGAAGGCAUGCCUGUUUGAGUGUCAU
rnacentral:rRNA from 1 species